UUUAAAGAGAGUUUGAUCCUGGCUCAGGACGAACGCUGGCGGCGUGCCUAAUACAUGCAAGUCGAACGAACGGAGGAAGAGCUUGCUCUUCCAAAGUUAGUGGCGGACGGGUGAGUAACACGUGGGCAACCUGCCUGUAAGUUGGGGAUAACUCCGGGAAACCGGGGCUAAUACCGAAUGAUAAGGAGUGACGCAUGUCACUGCUUUGAAAGAUGGUUUCGGCUAUCGCUUACAGAUGGGCCCGCGGUGCAUUAGCUAGUUGGUAGGGUAAAGGCCUACCAAGGCAACGAUGCAUAGCCGACCUGAGAGGGUGAUCGGCCACACUGGGACUGAGACACGGCCCAGACUCCUACGGGAGGCAGCAGUAGGGAAUCUUCCGCAAUGGACGAAAGUCUGACGGAGCAACGCCGCGUGUAUGAAGAAGGUUUUCGGAUCGUAAAGUACUGUUGUUAGAGAAGAA
rnacentral:rRNA from 1 species